rnacentral:rRNA from 1 species
UACGGGGAGGGCGAGCGUUAUUCAGCGUAAUUGGGCGUAAAGGGCAUGAAGGCGGUUUAAUAAGUUCAAGGUAAAAGUUUAUGGCUUAACUAUAAAAAAACCUAAAGAAUACUAUUAAGCUAGAGUAUAAGUGAAGAUAGCGAUACCUUUAGAGUAAAGGUAAAAUUUUUAAAUACUACAGGAGUCACCAACCGGCGAAAGCGGCUAUCUAUCUUAUAACUGACGCUGAAGUGCAAAAGCGUGGGGAGCAAACAGG